UACGAAGGGGGCUAGCGUUGCUCGGAAUCACUGGGCGUAAAGGGUGCGUAGGUGGCGGGGUAAGUCAGGUGUGAAAUCUCGGGGCUCAACCCCGAAACUGCAUUUGAUACUGGUAGUCUCGAGUCCGGAAGAGGUGAGUGGAAUUCCGAGUGUAGAGGUGAAAUUCGUAGAUAUUCGCAAGAACACCAGUGGCGAAGGCGGCUGACUGGUCCGGUUCUGACGCUGAGGCGCGAAAGCGUGGGGAGCAAACAGG
rnacentral:rRNA from 1 species